rnacentral:rRNA from 1 species
GUGGGGAAUCUUAGACAAUGGGGGCAACCCUGAUCUAGCCAUGCCGCGUGAGUGAUGAAGGCCUUAGGGUCGUAAAGCUCUUUCGCCGGGGAAGAUAAUGACUGUACCCGGUAAAGAAACCCCGGCUAACUCCGUGCCAGCAGCCGCGGUAAUACGGAGGGGGUUAGCGUUGUUCGGAAUUACUGGGCGUAAAGCGCGCGUAGGCGGAUCGGAAAGUUGGGGGUGAAAUCCCGGGGCUCAACCCCGGAAUUGCCUUCAAAACUCCCGGUCUUGAGGUCGAGAGAGGUGAGUGGAAUUCCGAGUGUAGAGGUGAAAUUCGUAGAUAUUCGGAGGAACACCAGUGGCGAAGGCGGCUCACUGGCUCGAUACUGACGCUGAGGUGCGAAAGCGUGGGGAGCAAACAGGAUUAGAAACCCUGGUAGUCC